AUACGGAGGGUGCAAGCGUUACUCGGAAUCACUGGGCGUAAAGCGCGCGCAGGUGGUCUUUUAAGUUGGAUGUGAAAGCCUACGGCUCAACCGUAGAACUGCAUCCAAAACUAUUAGACUAGAGUGUGGGAGAGGAAGAUGGAAUUAGUUGUGUAGGGGUAAAAUCCGUAGAGAUAACUAGGAAUACCAAAAGCGAAGGCAAUCUUCUGGAACACUACUGACGCUGAGGCGCGAAAGCGUGGGGAGCAAACAGGAUUAGAUACCCUAGUAGUCC
rnacentral:rRNA from 1 species